UACGUAGGGGGCGAGCGUUGUCCGGAUUUAUUGGGCGUAAAGAGCGUGUAGGCGGCCAGGUAGGUCUGCUGUGAAAACUCGAGGCUCAACCUCGAGACGUCGGCGGAAACCAUCUGGCUAGAGUCCGGAAGAGGAGAGUGGAAUUCCUGGUGUAGCGGUGAAAUGCGCAGAUAUCAGGAAGAACACCCGUGGCGAAGGCGGGUCUCUGGCGG
rnacentral:rRNA from 1 species